UGCUUGGUGUGACAUUUUCUUUUAUUC
rnacentral:piRNA from 1 species